rnacentral:rRNA from 1 species
UACGUAGGGUGCAAGCGUUGUCCGGAAUCAUUGGGCGUAAAGCGCGUGUAGGCGGCCCGGUAAGUCCGCUGUGAAAGUCCAGGGCUCAACCCUGGAAUGCCGGUGGAUACUGUCGGGCUCGAGUCCGGAAGAGGCGAGUGGAAUUCCUGGUGUAGCGGUGAAAUGCGCAGAUAUCAGGAGGAACACCGAUGGCGAAGGCAGCUCGCUGGGACGGUACUGACGCUGAGACGCGAAAGCGUGGGGAGCAAACAGG